GUCCCCAUUCUCCGUCCGCGAUACAUCGUCGUCGCUUUCCUUCGACAAAUGCGGAGAGAAGACAAAGAUUUGGAAUUCGACCACUGGCCAAUUCGAAGCCCUAUUUGGUUUGGCUCCCCCUCCUUCCUCCCUUUUCUUGCUCCGAAUUAAAUCUUCUUAUGUGACGUUUGUCGUCUGAAACGACGAUUCUCUUUGGUAUCAUGCAUUUGAUUCGUCUACACGAGGAGGAUUGUGGUUUGACUUAAAUGAGUCCUGUGGGUUAUCUACUUGUUUUUAUAAUAAAGGGGAAUGACAAAGAAAGUCUGACAAAAUUGCCAACCAUGAAAUGAAUCCCUACCCAUGAUUAGGUUCUGCUGAAGUUAAAUUGGACUUAGCGUGCGUAAUUCUUUCAUUAAUUUGUUUAAUGCUUAUAAGGAGCAACAUACAGUUAGAUGAUGUGUAAAAUGUAUCCAAAUUGUGAAAUUGGGGCUAUAAUUUCUCCCGUUGCACUACACCUUCGAUGAUCUAGAAGUGGCAGAAAUUGAAAUUUAACUUUUACAUGGCAGUUUUAACACUUAGAUGCAAGUGUUGGGAAUCUCAUUAGUUAUUGGAAUCGACAAGAUACUUUAUCUGAUCCACAUGUCCAAUAAUAAUAAUGACCAAACACAUUUAUCGACUAGUCAUAAAUGAGAGACUUUUCAGAUAUUUAAAAUUAUUUUAAAUUGUUUUGAUGAUGAAAGAAAGCAUUAAGUAUACUUUUUAAAAAAAAUAAAGGAUUGGUGUCCCUUUUCUGCCUAUCAAUACCAUUAAGGGAUAGACAUUAAGUUCCAUAAGACAUAGAUUAGAAGACACCAAUUGUUUCUUAAUAAAUUAAUCUAAGGAGUCCAAUAUGUGAACUAAUCAAAGGCUUAUUCUUGGACAACUGUGACUCAAGGUAAGUUUAUUUCGUUGCAUGUCCAAUAUAAAUCCAUUGUUUUGCUUACAACAAGAGCAUUUCAAAUCUGUAUGUUUAUGAGUUUUCUAAUCUAUUGUUCUCAAUAUUAUUUUUUAAAACUACAUAGAAAGAAAAGAAAAGUGGUGGAUAAAAAUGUAAUAUUUACAUGGUAAUUUUAACUUUUAGAUACAAGUGCACUCCGAGCCUGUAUGCCUUUGCAUUUUAUAAUUAUUCUUUUUGAAUAUUGUUCUUCAACACUACUUAGAAAGAAAACACAAGAAGGUGCUACAAAGGUGCAUACACAGACUUCUUGUAUCUGUGCUGCAGGAAGUACUCGUGACACUUGUUCUAUGGCACAAAAAGUGCUGUUGGUUUCUCUGGUACUUGCGUGACACACUAAACUCAGCUCUAGUAGAUCAUGUGUACAAUGUGAUCUAACAUGCUGUUGUUCCUUUUUUCAUGCUUUUUGUAAACUUGUUAUGUCCAAGGUUGUAUUACUCCUUUCUGUUCAAGAACAUGUGAAAAAUGCUGAUUAUUUCAGUGCUUUGACUUUUAUUCCACGUCUCAACAUGCUUUGUAAUUAAUCUUUAACUAUUUGUUACAUAUGCUGUUGCUUACUGAUGGGGUCAAGGAUUUCAAAUAACGUUUGUUAUUGAAACUGAGGAUUUGAAAUAAUGUUUGUGACUGAAACUGAACAGAUAGAAUUGUAAGGCAACAGAGAUUCUCUGAUGAACUCUAUCUCAACGAAUGGCUGUUAUAAUAUUUUGGUCUUUGUUAUAUACAUAUUUACAUGAAUAUUUCCUGUGAAAUUUAGUUUUGUGGUAUAAAGCACUAUUAUCAGCAUGGUUUCUUUAUUGUUUAUCUAUAUCUAUAAUGUUUCAUGUUGUGUUUUUCUUGGACUGCUCAUUCAGUGCUGUUAAUUCCCUGCUUUUCAGUUUUGUUUAUAUCCUCUCUCUAUAUGUGUUUUUCCACAAGGAACCAAUAUUCUUGACCUUACAUGCUAUUCAAUUAUAGGCUUUUGGAAUUGUUCCUCCGUACUGAAACAUUAGCAUUUUUGUGACAAUGGAAAAUUUGAUUUGUUCUUCUUAUUUUUUGUAUUUCUUGGAGUUUUAAAGUAUGACAUUGUUGUGGGCUUCAAAGUAAAUUGAACGGUGCAAUUCUACAGUUCUGUACUUGAUGCCCUUAGUUCUGGAAGAUGCCCUUAGAACGGUGCAAUGGCAUUGAAAGCACGUCACACACAGGUUCUUAAUGCUAAAGCCCACGCAGCUAAUUUUGUGGCCUUUACAUCUCCUAUCAUUUUUCUGCACUUUCUUCCUUUAGUUGCUGUCUAUGUCAUGUUUGCUAGUAUUCAUAAUCAAUAGAAGGGUAUAAUAUAGUAUUCUAAGGUUAUGAUGUUUUUUGUCGACCUUCAGGUUUCUUUUUCAACACAUUCACUGAGUUGUAGUGUGUCAGGUAGAAGGGCAAAUGUGAGGUCCUCGAUUGUUCAGUUGUUGUAUAAAACACUUGUUUGUGCCCCUGAAGCAUCAUUUUGAUUUUAGGUAAGACUUAAAAACGAAUGUGUUCGAAAGGAAUAUGACCAUUUUUACCAUAGUUGUUAUUGGCUUUAAAAAAUAACAGAGGUAGUUUUUAAGAGAAAGGAAUACAUGCUAUGGAUUGUUAAUUUUACUAGAGCAAUUGUUACUUGUAGGCUUGUUUAAUUUAAUGUUGCCCAAUAUCACUAUUCCUCCUCUUUGCAGCUAUCUAUGAUUGGAUUUAGAAUCAGGUUCAGAGUACUUUGCUUCCUGGAUUUGCAGUGGUACAUGUCCGGAAUGCAGAAAUUUGUUGUUUGGUUUCAUUGCUAUGGUUACAACUUACGAAUAGGAUUCAUAUAAAAUUUUGCUACUAGGGAUUCACGCAGCACAGGCUCAAAUUAACUAAGUUGUUGGAAAAUCUGAAAAACCUAUCUGAUUUCAGAGCUUUCAGAUAUUUCAUUGUUAUUUCUUUUCAUUCUAGUUAAACACAUCUAAAAUGAGGCUAAUGCUGAGACUCCCAUUAAUGAGUGGUCUAGGGAGAGUUAAUAUACAUAGUCUUACUCUUAUAAUUAGAGAGGCCUCUUCCAGGACUCUAAACCUUGUCACCAGUGUUGUAAAGUAAGAAAACAAAAACAAAAACAAAAAAAGCAAAAGUGUCUACUCUAGAAAAUAUCCCACCUAAUUCUUUUUUCUUAAAAAUUGAGUAAAUGGUCUAAUUUGUAUCACAACAUAAAGUAGUAAACCAACUAAUCCUGCCUUUUGCAAACUUCAAAUCAAGAUAAAUGAUAUAUCCCAAAUCAAAUUCCAAACCCAUAGCCGAACCAAGACAGUUCAUAUUUUGAGAAACUAUAGUUAAAACAAUAUAAGGUUCAGGGGCACCUUUAGUAUAGCAAUGAAUGUUAUCCAAAAUGAAUGGUCUAAUCCACAAAACUCAUCCCCGCAGUUUGAAGAAGGUUAACAUGUUCAGUCUUACCUAUACAAAUAAAGAGGUCAUUUCCAUUGACUUUACAAACCUAAGUUUAGGACAAAAAGGCAAACUCAUCAUGGAGAUAAGGCCAACCUUUGAAGACAUUUUUAUUAUAACAUUUUUCCUCCCACUAUUCAGUAUCUUGUUGGGACAUUUCUCACUAUUCAGUAUCUUGUUAGGACAUUUCUUAAGCUUAAAAAAUCUGGAAUUUGAACAUUGUCUCUGAUUUUUAUUCUGCUGUUAGUCUUACAUUUACUUUGUUUGCUAUAAAUGGUGUAGAUUGGUAAUUGUCUUUGACUCUUUGUUUGGUUAAAUAUAUUGCAGUGUUGUUGAAAAUGUUUAGCUUAUGAUAAAACUUUUGGUGACUUUAUGGUGAGAAUUUGCAAUCAACUGAAUGAAUGCAUUCCUCUUGAUGACAUCGUGAUACAGUAUUGAAUGUGGAAGAGUACUGCCAAAGUGAUAGUGACCUUUUAUUGCCUGUGUUAUGAUGACCAGUUGAUUUUACAAACUUAGACCAUUAUAGUUUGGCUGAUUGAUUUUGCAAGAGGCAAAUCAUAUCUUACAAAUGGGUAUGGUAUAAGAUAACAGACAUGAUAGUAUACCUUACAUGCUGAUAUUGGCUGACAUGGAGGCCCAACAUUUUCAGAACCACAUGAAUAGAUGUUGGUGGAUUGCUUUUUAUAGUUUUGAUUUUUUGGAACCUUUUUAUGUGCUUAUCUCUCAUAAAAUUGAAUAAAUAAGUUUUGAUAGAAGGAUUUUGUGGCACACAUCUUUUUCAAAUAAUUGGUCUUAGUUAAGGAAAGUUGAGAUUGAAUUCCAAAUACCAUUCAGUCAGCUAACACUGCAUGGUGCCUUAUUUUCUUUUCGUUCAAGAAUUUUGACUUCUUUUACUCUUUUGAUCGGCUUAGUCAGUUAGUAUUUGUUGAUAAGAUCUAUUGCUAUGUUUAGAUUCCUUGGUCUUACCACUUCAAUUGAAGAUCCAACCUAACUCCAUGAGGUUGACUACGUUGGGCAAAUUUCAUCAUAAAAAACAGGUUAUUAAAUAUAUGUGUACUAGCCUUUGGCAUAUUAUUUUUCAUCGUAGUCUUUUGGAGGACAAUAAAAUGAAUUUUUUGUCCAUUUUUUAUGAGUAUGUGUUUCUUUAGUAGUUUGGUAUCAUGAAAUUAAUUUUAGGUACCCAUGAAACAGUUUGUAUUAAAGCAUAUUUUGGUUGUUCAAGGUGUUGGGCGCAGAGCCAACCUCGAUUGAAGCUCCGGUCUGUCAUCAAUUUGAUGUUGGGAGAUGAGUAGGUUAGGUAGAAGAUCCUACAAAACUAAAUCAGAGGCAUGCCCGACAAAAGUCUUUCCAAAGUAGAGCUGGAGAAACGUAACAGUUGCUUUAAAGGGUUCAAAGGGGUGUUAGGUGACUUAGCAUACCUAGGACAUUUUAUAUAAAGCUUUUGUAAUCAUCAAUAUUAAUUGGGAAGUUAAUUUGUGGAAUUAUUAAGCUUUACUCGAACGUGGAGAGUUAACCGAACCAUCGGGACAUUUCCAUUGGCAUAGUCGUGCGAACUUGGUAUAUUAUAGUUGUCCAUUGUGUUGGGCCAUGGAGCCAACCUUGAUUCAAGCUUGGGUCUAUUGUCAGUUUAAUCUCGCUAGAUGAUUGGGUUCAAUAGGGGCAUAUGCAAAAUUUAGUCGGGGACAUACCAAACAAAAGUCUUUAAUGCUUAAGUUAGUAAAUCUAGAGAAAUAUAAUGUAGGAUUCAGAGGUUUCAAAGAGCACUACCUAGGGCUUUUUAAUAAGGGUUUUGAUUACCAUCAAAAUUAAGUGGUUUCGCUGGAUUGUUGGGUGUUACUCGGAUGUGAGGAGUCACUCAAACCGUUACGAGAUAUAUGGCAGCUUCAUGGCUGGAUUUGACCAUAUUAGAGAUACAGGGAGUUUCGUGGCUAGAUUCGAUCGUAUUCGAGAUAGAGAAUAAUUCAUUAUCAUAUUCCAUUACAUCGUUGAUAAAGGAUACUUUAUGGUCAUAUUCGACCACGUUGGAGAAAUGAUGCUUCAUGUCGAAGUCGAUUGCAUCGAGGGCUCGAGAUGCAUCUUGGCAACAUCAUCAAGCUUUUUUUAUCGUUUUUCUACCACAAGCCACUCCAACUACAAGCUCGACUUACCUUUGUUCUACAAUUGAAAUACGAUUUGCUUUAGUAACAACGUCAUAUUAAUUUUUGAUGAUUUGACAUUUUUGCCCUGAUACUUGAUCUUUUAUGUUUGAUUGGGGCCUUCCAUAUCGUGCACCACUCAAAUUAACGAAAAAGCUAAGGAUAAGGUAGUGAAGGCCUAACAAUGCCUGACCCCUAUAAAAGGGAGCCUUAGUUGUAUCUGAGCUUCCUACUUUACAAAGCCACCAUCUUUGAUGCUAAACAAACAGGUGGCUGCAGUCUGUGGGCAAAGGCAUCCAUGGAAGCCACCUUCUUCAUUUUAGUAGCUAUGCUUACAUCCAUGAACUGAGGAAACGCUGCAAGGAAAUGGAGAGGAAGAAGACAGAUGGUGGUGCGGCCACAGAGGAGAAGAGCUCCAAGGGAAGAGUUCAUCCUAGUGACACCCCUUCACCAGUGUGUCGUGAAGAACGAGGUGAAGGUAAUCGUUGGAGAAGCUCGUUCACCAAAUAAAUCCCCAAAAAAGAAAGAUGAUGAAUUAUUGAGUGUUGAUGGGGGGCUUGUUUUACAUCUAGACAAUGCUAUGUCCACAUAUAUAUAUAUAUAUAUAUAUAUAUUUUGCCUUCCAAUGUUCCAAAGUCUCUUUAGUAGGGAAAUGUGGGAGGAAUAAUCAUCCAAUUGUUUUCUUUUUCUCUACCUACAUACGACAGAAAUAGAUGUUGCUUUCAUUAUUAACAUAGUUCAGGUUCAUAGCCA